GCUGGGUGUGGUGGUGUAUGCCUGUGAUCCCAGUAGCUUGGGAGGCUGAGGCAGGAGGAUUGCGAGUUCAAAGCCAGCCUCAACAACUUAGUAAGGCCCAAAGUUUGCAUGUCACAAGACCCUGUCUCUA
rnacentral:sRNA from 1 species